rnacentral:lncRNA from 1 species
GGAAGCCUCGUCCUGUCUCCCAGCUGGUUGCUCAGCGGGUAGCGCCGCAGUUCGCCUCGCCCACGCUGCUGCCCAAGAAGGACAAGAAGGACAGAACGGACCAGGAGAAGAAUGACAAAGAGCCCACAGUGAAGAAGAACAGCCACAAGAAGAUGAGGCCCAGGUUAAAAAAAUAUUGACAGGAGCAGCGCUCAGCACCUAGAGGUCACGGUUGGAGACCUGACUGUCAUCAUCACAGACUUUAAGGAGAAAACCAAACCUCCCCCCUCCUCCACCAGCACCACCACACCCCCCUCCUCUACCACCCCCUCCAG